AAAUCUUGACAUCCUUUGAUCGCUCUAGAGAUAGAGUUUUCCCCUUCGGGGGACAAAGUGACAGGUGGUGCAUGGUUGUCGUCAGCUCGUGUCGUGAGAUGUUGGGUUAAGUCCCGCAACGAGCGCAACCCUUAAGCUUAGUUGCCAUCAUUAAGUUGGGCACUCUAGGUUGACUGCCGGUGACAAACCGGAGGAAGGUGGGGAUGACGUCAAAUCAUCAUGCCCCUUAUGAUUUGGGCUACACACGUGCUACAAUGGAUAAUACAAAGGGCAGCGAACCCGCGAGGUCAAGCAAAUCCCAUAAAAUUAUUCUCAGUUCGGAUUGUAGUCUGCAACUCGACUACAUGAAGCUGGAAUCGCUAGUAAUCGUAGAUCAGCAUGCUACGGUGAAUACGUUCCCGGGUC
rnacentral:rRNA from 1 species